UUACCUCCAGCGGCCGCCCCCUCCCCGCCAGGGUCUGCACAGCCGCCUCGCCGCGCCCCGUGCACCCCGCGGCAGGCGCGAGCUGCGCAGCGGCUCCGCAUUCGGGCCCGGCGGCGGCCGCCGCUGCCCGGGCGUGAGCGAGCCCGGCCCGCCCGCGCGCCCGCGCUUCCCACGCUCCGCGCGCCGCUCCGCGCCGCCCAGCGGCCGCCGCCGGCACCACAACCCCGCGGCCCGAGGGGGCUGCGCAGCCCGGCGGGCCGCCGGCCCAGAACGCGGCUGUGGGUUCACACGGGGCUGGGGGACCCCGCAGGCCGACCUCUCCGGCUCCAGCUUCAGCGCAGAGCGGCUCCUGCCCACCGCGUCUCCCAAGGAGGUCCCAGAGCCUCUGCGUGAGUCCCCGAUUCUCCCGUCUGGCGCUCUGACCUUGCCUCCCUUAUUGACCUCAAGGCGGUGGAGGCCGUGGUGUGUACAUGGCUCAGCCAAGAUGGACUCCAGCAAAGAGGAUUCUGGGAGACUGGUAGGACAUAUGGACUGUCGUCUCCUUUUGACCUUUCCCAAAUUCUUCCGGUUGGUGGUGGCUUGUUAGUAAUUAUCGAUGGCGAGAACUCUCACUUCUCUAUGGUGUCAGAGGGCUUUGAGAAGAGCUGGCCUCCAGCAGCCUGGCUCUCCAGCUUCAUCGCUAGUGAUUUCCUCUCCUCUCUCAUACUUUUCACAUGAACAUCCAGCUCCAGACAAGAUGAAGCAGAUCCACUUUCUCCCUCUUCCUCUGGUUAAGUGCUUCCUAACAUCCCGAACAUCACAGAUACAACAAACAUCUGAAAAGCAAAGCAAAGGCUAGGGACCCCAGGACUCAAGGAGUGACAUGGCACCGAGGUGGUAUCAACAGAGCCCGAGAUGGGUUGCUGAACUUCUGCUCUGGUCCAGCAAUAACGAGAAGCCUGCCACCCCUCAAGUGUCGACGGCUGCAUGGAGACCCUGGACUUUUACCCCCACCUGGCGGUAACCAGGAGGUCACCCUCCACCCCGCCCCACCCUGCCUGGCAGAGCAGUAGGAAAGGGGCCCUGCGGAAACAGAUCAGUCUCAGAACACAAUACCUGAAGUGUCCAAGAUGCAAUUUAAAAUCACUCAUGAUGCCAAGAACCAGGAAAAUUUCAACUUGAAUGAGAAGAGAUAAUUAGCAGAUGCCAACACGGAGAUGACAGAGAUGUUGGAAUUAUCUGACAAGGAUUUAAAAACAACCAUCAUCAACAUGCUUCACUGAGCAAUGGUAACAUUGCUCAAUAACUUAAAGGAACGAAUAGCAAGUCUCAGCGCAGAAAUAAAAGGUGGAAAGAAGGCUCAUAUCCUUUACUUGGGCCUUAAAAGCGCCACUCGUGUUUCCGGGAUGACCACCCUCACCUCGUGCCUGGGCCAAGGCGUCUGCCUCUUCUUAGAACACCCAUCUCUCCUUUUUAAAUCCUGCUUGUCCCGGGGGUCAGCUGAGAUGUCACCUCCUCUGCGAAGCCUUCUUUGACUUCCAUGCCCCUUCCUCCUGAAAGCUCCCCACGCCAUAGCACUCACACUCAACUCCAAUUAUUCUGUCCUCUCUCCCUCCACACCUACCCAGUGUAAAAACUUGCCAGAGAGACUGUGUCUUAUCCCAG
ensembl:lncRNA